rnacentral:misc_RNA from 1 species
UCUCCGUAGGUGAACCUGCGGAGGGAUCAUUACAGAGUUCAUGCCCUCACGGGUAGAUCUCCCACCCUUGUGUAUUCAUACCUUUGUUGCUUUGGCAGGCCGCCUGGGCCCAUGGCCUGGCCACCGGCUCUCGGGCUGGUGCGUGCCUGCCAGAGGAUCUCCAAACUCUAGUUGUCAGUGUUGUCUGAGUACUAUACAAUCGUUAAAACUUUCAACAACGGAUCUCUUGGUUCUG